CUGUGGUGGGCUCAUCUCCUUGUCAGGCGGUGUUGGAGCUCACUUGUUCCAACUCUGUGUGGCAUGGGAGAAAUCCGUAUGCAACAACUGGGUUCUCGAUAUCAUCAGAAGGGGAUAUCUUCUAGAAUUUUGCAAAAACCCUCCUUCCAGUUCCUUCCAAAUCACAAAGUGGCCAGGAGACAGUGUAAAAAGGCUUGCUCUCCAGGUCUUCACUUCUUCUCUACAAAAAGGAGUCAUUGUACCAGUCCCGGAGUCAGAAAGGACUCACAGCUUCUAUUCACAUCUAUUUCUGACCGAAAAGUCCUCGGGAGGGUGGAGACCCAUCCUAAAUUUACACAGACUGAAUCGAUACUUGCAUAUCCGCAGAUUCAAGAUGGAG